GUGGAGUGGAGUGGAGUGGAGUGGACUGGAGUGGACUGGAGUGGGGGUUCCGGUCCCGUGGUGGAGAAGCGGAAGAAGACAGUGAGGUUUCCCAGUGAUCCGGAAGAAACCGAAGGUGAUUCCUCCGCGUGACUGCUCCCUCGGGAAUCCC
rnacentral:miRNA from 1 species